GACGAACGCUGGCGGCGUGCUUAACACAUGCAAGUCGAACGGGUCUGCCCUGUUUUUUGCGGGGUGGGUCAGUGGCGACCGGGUGAGUAACACGUGAGUAACCUGCCCCUCACUUCUGGAUAACCGCUUGAAAGGGUGGCUAAUACGGGGUGUUCUGGCUGUGCCGCAUGGUGUGGCUGGGAAAGAUUCACUUUUGUGGUGUUUUGGUGGGUGAUGGGCUCGCGGCCUAUCAGCUUGUUGGUGGGGUGAUGGCCUGCCAAGGCUUUGACGGGUAGCCGGCCUGGGAGGGUGGGCGGUCACACUGGGACUGAGAGACGGCCCAGACUCCUGAGGGAGGCAGCAGUGGGGGGUAUUGCACAAUGGGCGGAAGCCUGAUGCAGCGACGUCGCGUGAGGGAUGGAGGCCUUCGGGUUGUGAACCUCUUUUGCCGGUGAAGAAGGUCCUGCUCUUUGUGGUGGGGUUGACGGUAGCCGGGUUAUGAAGCGCCGGCUAACUACGUG
rnacentral:rRNA from 1 species